rnacentral:rRNA from 1 species
UACGUAGGGGGCAAGCGUUGUCCGGAUUUAUUGGGCGUAAAGAGCGUGUAGGCGGUUUUACAGGUCCGCUGUGAAAACUCGAGGCUCAACCUCGAGCUGUCGGUGGAAACCGUAAGGCUAGAGUCCGGAAGAGGAGACUGGAAUUUACGGUGUAGCGGUGAAAUGCGUAGAUAUCGUAAGGAAGACCAGUGGCGAAGGCGGGUCUCUGGACAGUUCCUGACGCUGAGGCACGAAGGUCAGGGGAGCAAACGGG